GACGAACGCUGGCGGCGUGCCUAAUACAUGCAAGUAGAACGCAGUUGCGAACGGGUGAGUAACGCGUAGGUAACUGCCUCAUAGCGGGGGAUAACUAUUGGAAACGAUAGCUAAUACCGCAUACGGUGAGAUGGACCUGCGUUUUAUUAGCUUGUUGGUGAGGUAAAGGAUCACCAAGGCGACGAUACAUAGCCGACCUGAGAGGGUGAUCGGCCACACUUGUGCUGAGACACGGCCCAGACUCCUACGGGAGGCAGCAGUAGGGAAUCUUCGGCAAUGGACGGAAGGCUGACCGAGCAACGCCGCGUGAGUGAAGAAGGUUUUCGGAUCGUAAAGCUCUGUUGUUAGAGAAGCGGUAACUAAACAGAAAGCGACGGCUAACUACGUGCCAGCAGCCGCGGUAAUUC
rnacentral:rRNA from 1 species